rnacentral:rRNA from 1 species
CACGCAGGCGGUCUGUCAAGUCGGAUGUGAAAUCCCCGGGCUCAACCUGGGAACUGCAUUCGAAACUGGCAGGCUAGAGUCUUGUAGAGGGGGGUAGAAUUCCAGGUGUAGCGGUGAAAUGCGUAGAGAUCUGGAGGAAUACCGGUGGCGAAGGCGGCCCCCUGGACAAAGACUGACGCUCAGGUGCGAAAGCGUGGGGAGCAAACA